UCAGGACUGGGAAUAUUUACUAAAUUCAGACUACCACCAGAAUGUUGAGUCUCAUCUUUUGAACAGAUCUUUAUGUCUGAGUCCUUCAGAAGCUUCACAGAUGAAGGAUGAGGAUUUUUCACAGAAUCUCAGUCUGGAUUCUUCUACACUUCUCUUUACGCACAUACCUGCAAUUUUUUUCGUUCUUCACCUUGUGUAUGAGGAGCUUAAGUUGAAUACUCUAAUGGGAGAAGGAAUUUGUUCACUUGUUGAACUUCUCGUUCAGUUGGCAAGGGACUUAAAAUUGGGGCCUUAUGUAGAUCAUUACUAUAGAGACUACCCAACGCUUGUCAGAACUACUGGACAAGUGUGCACAAUUGAUCCAGGUCAAACAGGAUUUAUGCAUCAUCCAUCAUUUUUUACAUCUGAGCCACCAAGUAUUUAUCAGUGGGUGAGUUCUUGUCUGAAGGGUGAAGGAAUGCCGCCUUAUCCUUACCUCCCUGGAAUCUGUGAAAGAAGCAGACUUGUAGUCUUGAGUAUUGCACUGUACAUACUUGGUGAUGAGAGCUCGGUUUCUGAUGAAUCCUCACAGUAUUUAACCAGAAUAACUAUAGCCCUCCAGAAGUUGCAAGUAGAACAAGAGGAAAACAGGUUUAGUUUCAGGCAUUCUACAUCUGUUUCUAGUCUAGCUGAAAGAUUGGUUGUCUGGAUGACUAAUGUAGGAUUCACUUUAAGAGAUUUGGAAACUCUUCCCUUUGGAAUUGCUCUUCCCAUCAGAGAUGCAAUUUAUCACUGUCGUGAGCAGCCUGCCUCAGACUGGCCAGAAGCUGUCUGUCUCUUGAUUGGACGUCAGGAUCUUUCCAAGCAGGCCUGCGAAGGAAACUUACCCAAAGGGAA
rnacentral:lncRNA from 1 species